UACGAAGGGUGCAAGCGUUACUCGGAAUUACUGGGCGUAAAGCGUGCGUAGGUGGUGAGUUAAGUCUGAUGUGAAAUCCCCGGGCUCAACCUGGGAAUGGCAUUGGAUACUGGCUCGCUAGAGUGCGGUAGAGGUGGUGGAAUUCCCGGUGUAGCAGUGAAAUGCGUAGAGAUCGGGAGGAACAUCUGUGGCGAAGGCGGCCACCUGGACCAACACUGACACUGAGGCACGGAAAGCGAC
rnacentral:rRNA from 1 species